UGAUACACCGCGGUGAGGACCACUGUGCUAACUGCUAACCAACUAGUAUUGUAGUUACGAAAACUAACAUCGAUCUACUAACUCAAAUUAUUAAUUUUGAUGGAGAUGAAGUCAAUAAUGAAACUGAUUUUUCGACGGAAGCGAAUAUGACCUUAGUUCGAUUUCAGUACCUAUUUAUUGUGUUCGAAAUUCGCUUCCAUAACUAAUAGAUGGUAUGGGACGUUAUA